AAGCAACGCGAAGAACCUUACCAGGUCUUGACAUCCCACUGACCGGUAUAGAGAUAUACCUUUCCCUUCGGGGACAGUGGUGACAGGUGGUGCAUGGUUGUCGUCAGCUCGUGUCGUGAGAUGUUGGGUUAAGUCCCGCAACGAGCGCAACCCUUGAUCUUAGUUGCCAGCAUUCAGUUGGGCACUCUAAGGUGACUGCCGGUGACAAACCGGAGGAAGGUGGGGAUGACGUCAAAUCAUCAUGCCCCUUAUGACCUGGGCUACACACGUGCUACAAUGGAUGGUACAAAGGGCUGCAAGACUGCGAAGUCAAGCGAAUCCCAUAAAACCAUUCUCAGUUCGGAUUGCAGGCUGCAACUCGCCUGCAUGAAGCUGGAAUCGCUAGUAAUCGCGGAUCAGCAUGCCGCGGUGAAUACGUUCCCGGGCCUUGUACACACCGCCCGUCACACCACGAGAGUUUGUAACACCCGAAGUCGGUGGGGUAACCGUAAGGAGCCAGCCGCCUAAGGUGG
rnacentral:rRNA from 1 species